rnacentral:RNase_P_RNA from 1 species
GGGUGACCUGAGAGAUAGCGCAGCAGAGAAUAGACCGCCCGUCCUCGACGGGUAAGGGUGAAACGGCGGUGUAAGAGACCACCGGGCCUCUGGUAACAGUAGGUCGCAUGGCAAGCCUCAUCGGGAGCAAGGCCAAGCAGAUGGCGGUAAGGGCUGCUCGCCCGUGUCAUCGGGUAGGCUGCUAGAGCCUGGCGGCAACGUCAGGUCGAGAUGGAUGGCCAUCCGUGCCGUGCGUUCGCGCACGGCACGACAGAACCCGGGGUAUAAGAGGUCUCAUUUU